UACGGAAGGGGGCUAGCGUUGCUCGGAAUCACUGGGCGUAAAGGGUGCGUAGGCGGGUUUUUAAGUCAGAGGUGAAAUCCUGGAGCUCAACUCCAGAACUGCCUUUGAUACUGAAAGUCUUGAGUAUGGGAGAGGUGAGUGGAACUGCGAGUAUAGAGGUGAAAUUCGUAGAUAUUCGCAAGAACACCAGUGGCGAAGGCGGCUCACUGGCCCAUAACUGACGCUGAGGCACGAAAGCGUGGGGAGCAAACAGG
rnacentral:rRNA from 1 species